rnacentral:rRNA from 1 species
UACGUAGGGGGCGAGCGUUGUCCGGAUUCAUUGGGCGUAAAGAGCUCGUAGGCGGCUUGGCAAGUCGGGUGUGAAAACUUCAGGCUCAACCUGGAGCGGCCACUCGAUACUGCCAUGGCUUGAGUCCGGUAGGGGACCACGGAACUCCUGGUGUAGCGGUGAAAUGCGCAGAUAUCAGGAGGAACACCGGUGGCGAAGGCGGCUCGCUGGGACGUGACUGACGCUGAGACGCGAAAGCGUGGGGAGCAAACAGG